rnacentral:lncRNA from 12 species
CCUGUCCCUGUCCUCCCCAGGUGGCCCCCAUCCUCCCCAGGGCCUGUCCCUGUCCUCCCCCAAGCCUGCCCCGUCCUCUGCAGGUGGCCCCCCAUCCUCCCCAGGGCCUGCCCCCAUCCUCCCCAGGUGGCCCCCCGUCCUCCCCAGGGCCUGUCCCAUCCUCCCCAGGUGGCUCCCAAUCCUCCCCAGGGCCUGUCCCCAUCCUCCCCAGGUGGCUUCCAGUCCUCCGCAGGGCCUGUCCCAUCCUCCCCAGGUGGCUCCCAGUCCUCCUCAGGGCCUGUCCCCGUCCUCCCCAGGUGGCCCCCAUCCUCCUCAGGGCCUGUCCCAUCCUCCCCAGGUAGCCUACUGUUUCCUCUGCUCCAGGCUUUGUCCGCCACCGCCCCGCCUGCUCCGUUGCCGCGGUGAGGCCUUGUCCCCUCAGCCCCCCACACACGAUGCUCUGUGACCACGCAGAGGGCCCGCGGCCCUGAGGACAGUCCCCCUGAAGCCUCCUCCCCAGCGACGCGGCGUCCGUCCCAUCCUUGGGGAGGGAGCUGAUUUUAAGAAGUGCCGCAGGCAUUUGGGUCUGCGUGUAUUUAUUUCCUGUUGUCCCGAGUUCUAUGAAUAUGUUUGUUUUAAUGUGUAAUAAGGGGAAAGUACGGCAGGCCCGCGGAGUCCGUGGUUCCCGUGACGUGUGUCCAUCUGGGAUGAAGCCAAAGCACGUGGAAGUUCAAGGAUGAGUUCAUUCGUUUAUUCACUUACUUACUCAUUCAUUCAUUUAUUUUAAAGAUUUUAUUUAUUUGAGGGCGUGCACGGGGCAGGGGCACAGGGAGCUGCAGGCUCCCCCCUGAGUGGGGCCCACCUGGACUCACCCCCCCCACUGGGUCAGGACCUCUGGGGGGUCAGCGGGGACCAGGAAGACAGGGUCCCCUCCCCUCCUUGCUCACGCAGGAGGAGGUUCCCGUGAGGAGGCCACUGUGCAGGCAGCAGGGGUCGCUCAUCGCCUGGACUCGCCAUCAUCCUCCCCGUGCAUCUAUUUUAUUAUUAUUUUUUA